UGAAAUACGUCAUCGAAAUGGUGAAAAUUCAAGUGUUUUGUUCCUGCUCCUCGUUGGCACUGCAAUCGUCGCCUGUAUAGCUGCAAAACAGACAGAUAUUUGUGAGAAUGAGACAGGACGUCUGAGAUGCAGAGGCAGUGAGACCAUCCGUAUCAAGAACGCGUGGUACG